rnacentral:rRNA from 1 species
UACGAAGGGGGCUAGCGUUGCUCGGAAUCACUGGGCGUAAAGGGUGCGUAGGCGGGUCUUUAAGUCAGGGGUGAAAUCCUGGAGCUCAACUCCAGAACUGCCUUUGAUACUGAAGAUCUUGAGUUCGGAAGAGGUGAGUGGAACUGCGAGUGUAGAGGUGAAAUUCGUAGAUAUUCGCAAGAACACCAGUGGCGAAGGCGGCUCACUGGUCCGGUACUGACGCUGAGGUGCGAAAGCGUGGGGAGCAAACAGG